CAGAGAGACUGUCUGAAGAUAAGCCUAGAAUGAAAAGUACACAGUACUACCUGACAUUUGUGGUCACCGUAAAAACAGGUUCACUAAAUAAUAGCCUACUUAUGUUGCCAGUUGCUGGAAUUGUUCCAGAGCAGCUUAAAUUGUAAAAGUCCACCUGACAGCUCUCAGGAACCAAGAAAAUGCAGAAGUUGAGCCUGGCUCCGACUCCAGUGGAAGGCUGCAGAACUGACAAGGAAUGUGCUGCAAAUCCUGCAAGGAGCAUCAGGGAAGAAAAGAAUGUGUACUGUCUUCAUUGAAACCAUGCUCAUGAGGCCCAGCUGAACAGGUCAGUCAAAGGCUUUAGCUUGAAGAAUACACUGAGAGAGCACAGAGGUGUCC
rnacentral:lncRNA from 1 species